UUCUUGAAAUAGAAUUUUUCUCCAUAUGUCAUUAUAUAUUACAGGGCUGCACAAGGUACUGAAAAAGGGACAGUGCUUUGAGUGAAUGUGUUAUCCAUGUAUCUGCAAAUGAAGCAGAUCCCAGUUAUUACACUCGUAAACAGUGUGACAACUUCCGAGAAGGCUAAAUCAGAUGCUCCUUUCCAUCUGAUGUUUUCCAGGUUUUUGUGAAAAGUUUUCUUAAAAAUGGCACCAUUCAACUACAAAUACUAUGCUGGUGGAACUGUGACAUCAAUCAACUGCUCAGGACACUGCUAACUGCCAGAGAAUUUAUUUUUUUUUGUUUCAUUUGGGACAAACAUUUUACACCUGCAAAUUGGUACUUCAUGAAAUGCUUGAAGGAUGUUACAUGUAAAGGCUACUGAAAUUCCAAGUCAGAUGAAGUGCAAAAGGAUUGAUACAAAAGUUAUAAAAAUAUGAAGUUUUCUAUUCUAAGUGACGAGUGCGACUGAAGUUUUUAAGGAUGCCCCGUCUGCAGACAACUCGUUAAGGCAGUGAUAUAAGUAGCUCCAAAUGAUGCUUUAUUGUUUUGCUCUGAUUUAUAACCUGGAUAGAUCUCUGAUGCAGUAAUUUAGAGCCAUGUCUUUUCACUGUCUUAAAGUACUGAAAUAAAAAUAAUUUUGAUUAAAA